rnacentral:rRNA from 1 species
UACGGAGGGAGCGUAGCGUUGUUCGGAAUUACUGGGCGUAAAGCGCAACGUAGGCGGCUUUGUAAGUUAGAGGUGAAAGCCCGGGGUCAACUCCGGAACUGCCUUUAAGACUGCAUCGCUUGAAUCCAGGAGAGGUGAGUGGAAUUCCGAGUGUAGAGGUGAAAUUCGUAGAUAUUCGGAAGAACACCAGUGGCGAAGGCGGCUCACUGGACUGGUAUUGACGCUGAGGUGCGAAAGCGCGGGGAGCAAACAGGAU